UGGGGAAUAUUGCACAAUGGGCGCAAGCCUGAUGCAGCGACGCCGCGUGAGGGAUGACGGCCUUCGGGUUGUAAACCUCUUUCAGCAGGGACGAAGCGCAAGUGACGGUACCUGCAGAAGAAGCACCGGCCAACUACGUGCCAGCAGCCGCGGUAAUACGUAGGGUGCGAGCGUUGUCCGGAAUUACUGGGCGUAAAGAGCUCGUAGGCGGUUUGUCGCGUCGUCUGUGAAAUUCUGCAGCUUAACUGCAGGCGUGCAGGCGAUACGGGCAGACUUGAGUACUACAGGGGAGACUGGAAUUCCUGGUGUAGCGGUGAAAUGCGCAGAUAUCAGGAGGAACACCGGUGGCGAAGGCGGGUCUCUGGGUAGUAACUGACGCUGAGGAGCGAAAGCGUGGGUAGCGAACAGGAUUAGAUACCCUGGUAGUCCACGCCGUAAACGGUGGGUACUAGGUGUGGGUUCCAUUUCACGGGAUCCGUGCCGUAGCUAACGCGUGAAGUUGACCGCCUGGGGAGUACGGUCGCAAGAUUAAAACUCAAA
rnacentral:rRNA from 1 species